UACAGAGGUCUCAAGCGUUGUUCGGAUUCAUUGGGCGUAAAGGGUGCGUAGGCGGCGCGGUAAGUCGGGUGUGAAAUCUUGGAGCUUAACUCCGAAACUGCAUUCGAUACUGCCGUGCUUGAGGACUGGAGAGGAGACUGGAAUUUACGGUGUAGCGGUGAAAUGCGUAGAUAUCGUAAGGAAGACCAGUGGCGAAGGCGGGUCUCUGGGCCGAUAUUGACGCUGAGGAGCGAAAGCGUGGGGAGCGAACAGG
rnacentral:rRNA from 1 species